rnacentral:tRNA from 6 species
GCCGCUGUAGCUCAGGGGUAGAGCAAUUCAUUCGUAAUGAAUAGGUCGUCGGUUCAAUUCCGACCAGCGGCUCCA